rnacentral:rRNA from 1 species
AACGAACGCUGGCGGCAUGCCUAACACAUGCAAGUCGAACGCACCUUCGGGUGAGUGGCGGACGGGUGAGUAACGCGUGGGAACCUGCCUUUCAGUACGGAAUAACCAAGGGAAACUCUGGCUAAUACCGUAUACGUCCUUCGGGAGAAAGAUUUAUCGCUGAAAGAUGGGCCCGCGUACGAUUAGCUUGUUGGUGAGGUAAUGGCUCACCAAGGCGACGAUCGUUAGCUGGUCUUAGAGGAUGAUCAGCCACACUGGGACUGAGACACGGCCCAGACUCCUACGGGAGGCAGCAGUGGGGAAUAUUGGACAAUGGGCGAAAGCCUGAUCCAGCAAUGCCGCGUGAGUGAUGAAGGCCUUAGGGUUGUAAAGCUCUUUUACCAGGGAAGAUGAUGACUGUACCGCAAGAAUAAGCCCCGGCUAACUUCGUG